GCAGCGACGGGCGGCCGGCGGCGCGCGCGGCGUCGUCGCGCGCGAACACGAUCUUCGCGACGCCGCGGAUCGCGGCCAUGUCGCCGCC
rnacentral:tRNA from 1 species